ACGCCACGUGAGUGAGAAGGUUUUCGGAUCGUAAAGCUCUGUUGUUGGAGAAGAACGAGGGGGAGAGUAACUGCUCCCGCCUUGACGGUAUCCAACCAGAAAGCCACGGCUAACUACGUGCCAGCAGCCGCGGUAAUACGUAGGUGGCAAGCGUUGUCCGGAUUUAUUGGGCGUAAAGCGAGCGCAGGCGGUUUCUUAAGUCUGAUGUGAAAGCCUUCGGCUCAACCGGAGAAGGGCAUCGGAAACUGGGAGACUUGAGUGCAGAAGAGGAGAGUGGAACUCCAUGUGUAGCGGUGAAAU
rnacentral:rRNA from 1 species